UGCAAGUCGAGCGAAUGGAUUAAGAGCUUGCUCUUAUGAAGUUAGCGGCGGACGGGUGAGUAACACGUGGGUAACCUGCCCAUAAGACUGGGAUAACUCCGGGAAACCGGGGCUAAUACCGGAUAACAUUUUGAACCGCAUGGUUCGAAAUUGAAAGGCGGCUUCGGCUGUCACUUAUGGAUGGACCCGCGUCGCAUUAGCUAGUUGGUGAGGUAACGGCUCACCAAGGCAACGAUGCGUAGCCGACCUGAGAGGGUGAUCGGCCACACUGGGACUGAGACACGGCCCAGACUCCUACGGGAGGCAGCAGUAGGGAAUCUUCCGCAAUGGACGAAAGUCUGACGGAGCAACGCCGCGUGAGUGAUGAAGGCUUUCGGGUCGUAAAACUCUGUUGUUAGGGAAGAACAAGUGCUAGUUGAAUAAGCUGGCACCUUGACGGUACCUAACCAGAAAGCCACGGCUAACUACGUGCCAGCAGCCGCGGUAAUACGUAGGUGGCAAGCGUUAUCCGGAAUUAUUGGGCGUAAAGCGCGCGCAGGUGGUUUCUUAAGUCUGAUGUGAAAGCCCACGGCUCAACCGUGGAGGGUCAUUGGAAACUGGGAGACUUGAGUGCAGAAGAGGAAAGUGGAAUUCCAUGUGUAGCGGUGAAAUGCGUAGAGAUAUGGAGGAACACCAGUGGCGAAGGCGACUUUCUGGUCUGUAACUGACACUGAGGCGCGA
rnacentral:rRNA from 2 species